UUUGAGACCUGUUGUACUGUUAUAGCGCCACCUAUGGUCUGAUCUCCAUGAAACUUUGCAUGCUUGUUAAGAGUCACCUGUUACAUGUUCUCACCGAGUUUCAUAAAGUUUUGAGUUUUCGUUUAGGUUUUAUAGGCUUUGGGGUAUGUUUGGCCACACCCCUUUUUCUAAAUUACCCCUUUACAGCUAACCAAAGGACAAAAUUCAACAUUUUUUUAAUAAUUAUUGAUCUAGAGAGUCCACAGAAUAUUACUGCAGUGGUUUGGUUCCGAUCAGGCAAAAAACCUAGGACUAGUUCGCAAAAGUAGGUUUUUAACAUAUUUGUGAAUAACAAUUGAACGAUUUGAUUGACAGCAAUGGUUCUUGAGGCAAAGUUGUGCAUUACGAGGAGAUCUAUCAAAUGAUAUGCAUAUUGUGUUGAUAUGUGAAACACCACGUGAUUACAGAGCCAUAAAACUCGUUAGCGCCAACUAGUGGCCGAUUUCUUUCAAAAUUCUUACAGACCUUAAGGUUCAUGAGUCGAACGUACCCAGCGAGUUUCGUUCCGAUCAACAUCCGUUAACCCUUUCAAAUAGGUGCUUAAAUUUGUUUGGCCAAUGACGGCCAUGUUUUUUGAGAUAUGCAAAUGUCCUCAUAAGUACUUGUGCCCCUUCAGACCAAGACACCGCAUACCGAUUUUCAAGUUGAUCGAGCCAACGGUUGCCUAGUUAUAGCAAUUUAUGUGUUUUUUCAAUCUUAUAGCGCCCCCAAGUGGCAGAGAUGCGCAAUUUUUUUGAUUUGACCAAAGAUUGAGCUCAUACAUAUGUGUACCGAGUUUGUUGAAGAUAUCUCAUUCCGUUCAAGAGUUAUAGUCAAAAUAGUAUUUGGCUAACGUUAGCAUAGACGCUUUUUGGCGUACUGUUUCGCGUAAGAAUUGAAAUUUCAACUUUUUUUUAAUAAUUAUUGAUAUUGAGUGUCCAGGGAAUAUUUAUGAAGUGGUUUGGUUCUGAUUGGUUGAAAAUCCUAGGACUAGUUCGCAAAAGUAGGUUUCGGAUAUAGCUCGAUUUUGCGAGAAAACGGUGCGUCGUAGACCCCAAAAAGGCGCCGUGCACUUUUGUUCGGGCUAACCCAAGGAUUGCAACAAUGCCAUGUUUUUGAGACUACGGCUAACGGUAUACGAUUUACGGCCAAAAAUGUCCAAAAUUUUUGUUUUUUGCGCUGUAGCGCCCCCGUUAGGCCGAUUGGGCUGAGACUUUGAUAAGUUCUCCCCAAAUUGAGCUCUACGAUCUGUCCAAAUUUCAGCUCUCUAGGCCUUACGGUUUGGGCUGCACGUUCAGUUCUAGGGCAGAAGAAUAAUAAUAAUAAUAAUUAAAGCUGCAAGCAGCAUUUACCGGGGUUCAAGCACAUUAAGGCCUCUGAGGUGGUCUGAGCCAACCUGGAUGCAUGGAUGACAUUUAAACACAUCCAAAAUGGAGAACAGGGUAACAGACAGACACACACACUGAAAGUAAAUGAUUAGACUAAUAUAUGUAUACUCUAUAAGCAUAUGCACACACACACACACACACACACACAGAAAGACACACAUAUACAUGCACAAACAUUUUGUUGCAGAUAUAGGUAUUUGAAAUAAGUGAUAGGUGACAAUAAACUUAUUGCAAGUCUUCUCUUUUUAAGAGUUUAGAUGUCAUUUUCAGGUUAAACUGUAAUCACAAUGUGGCAAAAUAGUAAAAACUGAUAUAUCUGUAAGAACAAAAUGGAAAACAUUGACUCAGUGAGAUUUAAAAUGUUAUAACAGUUACAUUUUUAAUGUUUUGGGAUGAAUUCAUGAAUCCUUUCAACAGUACUGUUCAACUUAACUGAAUGAGCCCAUUAGUGGUCUUCCACUGCCAUCUAGAGGUUAUAAAUUGCAUUUACUCAAGCAACACUGUUUUUAAACAUAACUGUUAUAGUGUUUUUUUUUUUUUUUUUUU